CAGCCUCUCUAUCUUAUUAUUCUUCCUCUACCACUAAAUCUCCUAUAAAUUAUCACCACCUUCUUGAUCAUAUUUUCUAUUUUGAUACUGGAUCUUGUAUUGAUACCAUCCUAUUACAGUAUCAAUAUAUGAUUCGAUACAGUAUGAUAUGAUAUACCAAAUAUUGGUAUGGUAAGAGAUACUGUAUCAAUACGAGAUCGAUAUAAUAUAGAGUAUACUAGA
rnacentral:lncRNA from 1 species